GCUUCAAAUGGCGGGGCCUUUGUGCCGUGAUAUCGACGCUGUGACUAUCAAAAGAAGCAACCAUGCCGGCUGCCAUAAGAGUUACUGAAUCAGUGAAUCUUCCAUCUGAUCAGUGGGUUGAGUGUGUGUCUGCAGUUGAUUCACAUCAGCCCGAUUAUCCCGAGGAGAAGCAGAAUGACUUCAUUCACAGUAUCGAACAGCUGAAUGACAAAGUUG